rnacentral:rRNA from 1 species
AGCAGCCGCGGUAAUUCCAGCUUCAAUAGCGUAUAUUAAAGUUGUUGCAGUUAAAAAGCUCGUAGUUGAAUUUCGGGGUUAGUAGGUUGGUCAUGCCUCUGGUAUGUACUGGUCUCACUGAUUCCUCCUUCCUGAUGAACCUUAAUGCCAUUUAUUUGGUGUUUUGGGGAAUUUGGACUGUUACUUUGAAAAAAUUAGAGUGUUUAAAGCAAGCUAACGCUUGAAUACAUUAGCAUGGAAUAAUGAAAUAGGACGUUCGAUCCUAUUUUGUUGGUUUCUAGGAUUGACGUAAUGAUUAAUAGGGAUAGUUGGGGGCAUUAGUAUUCAAUUGUCAGAGGUGAAAUUCUUGGAUUUAUUGAAGACUAACUACUGCGAAAGCAUUUGCCAAGGAUGUUUUCAUUAAUCAAGAACGAAAGUUAGGGGAUCGAAGACGAUCAGAUACCGUCGUAGUCUUAACCAUAAACUAUGCCGACUAGGGAUCGGAUGAUGUUAAUUUUUAAUGUACUCAUUCGGCGCCUUA